AUGAAAGCUAUUGUGAAGGCAAGAAAAGAAGCCAACGGGGUGAGGAAAAUGGCAAGGAUCCAAAAUGCCGCGGCCGAGGAGAGGAGGUUGGCGGCCGAGGAGAGGAGGGUGGCGGCCGAGGAGAGGAAGGUGGCUUUGGAGGAGAGGAAGGUGAGCAAUGAGGAGCGAACUAGAUUGUUGGAAUGGGAGAAGCACUUGUUCUUCUUGGACACAACUAACCUCAAUGCGGCGCAAAAGGAGUAUGUCAAUCUUGCCCAACAAGAAGUCUUGAUCCAAAAAAGAGCCAUGGUUCGUGCAAUGGGUGGCGGUGGCAUCGGCGCUAUGGGUGGCGGUGGCCUCGGCGCCGUGGGUGCCAUGGGUGGCUUCGGAGGUACCGUGGGCGGUUUAGGUGCAAUGGGAGGCAUGGCUGGCUUUGGAGCACCCCCCCGACGCUAUGGCCACGAUGGGAGGCAUGAGUUUUGCUUCUCUCAUGGGAGGCAUGGGUGCACCUCCGGCUGCCAUGGGCGGAAUGUCUUUCGAUGA
rnacentral:rRNA from 1 species